rnacentral:rRNA from 1 species
UACGUAGGGCGCAAGCGUUAUCCGGAAUUAUUGGGCGUAAAGAGCUCGUAGGCGGUUUGUCGCGUCUGCCGUGAAAGCCCGGGGCUCAACUCCGGAUCUGCGGUGGGUACGGGCAGGCUAGAGUGAUGUAGGGGAGACUGGAAUUCCUGGUGUAGCGGUGAAAUGCGCAGAUAUCAGGAGGAACACCGAUGGCGAAGGCAGGUCUCUGGGCAUUAACUGACGCUGAGGAGCGAAAGCAUGGGGAGCGAACAGG